CCCUUAGAUGUUCUGGGCUGCACGCGCGCUACACUGAUGCGAUCAACAAGUUUUUCCUAUGUCGAUAGACACGGGUAAUCUUUUGAAUUCGCAUCGUGAUGGGGAUAGAUUAUUGUAAUUAUUAAUCUUCAACGAGGAAUUCCUAGUAGGUGCAAAUCAUCAGUUUGCAUCGAUUACGUCCCUGCCCUUUGUACACACCGCCCGUCGCUGCUACCGAUUGGUUGAUCUGGUGAAUUAUUCGGACUGCCGGCUGAAGGGGUUUCCUCAUCUGCCAGCGGAAAGUCUUGUUAACCCUAUCAACUAGAGGAAGCAGAAGUCGUAACA
rnacentral:rRNA from 1 species